GAGGGUAUAGCUCAGUGGCAGAGAGCGUGCCUACCAAGUACAAGGUCCUGGGUUUGAUCCCAAGUAUCUCCA
rnacentral:tRNA from 1 species